GGCACAGAAAUAAAUGGCAGAAAUAUUAGGCUUAUUGAAGAUAAGCCACGAACAAGCCAUAGGCGCUCUUAUUCUGGAAGUAGAUCCAGAUCACGCUCUAGAAGAAGGUCACGGAGUAGGAGUCGCAGGAGCAGCCGCAGUAGAUCUCGAAGUAUCUCAAAAAGUCGCUCCCGAUCUAGGUCGCGGAGCAAAGGUCGAUCCCGAUCCCGCUCAAAAGGCAGGAAAUCCAGAUCAAAGAGCAAAUCUAAGCCUAAGUCUGA